rnacentral:rRNA from 1 species
GACGAACGCUGGCGGCGUGCUUAACACAUGCAAGUCGAACGGUAAGGCCCCAUCUUGCUGGGGUACACGAGUGGCGAACGGGUGAGUAACACGUGGGUGACCUGCCCCGCACUUCGGGAUAAGCCUGGGAAACUGGGUCUAAUAUCGGAUACGACCGCACCGAGCGGGUGUGGUGGGAAGUAUUUCGGUGUGGGAUGGGCGCGCGGCCUAUCAGCUUGUUGGUGGGGUAAUGGCCUAGCAAGGCGGCGACGGGUAGCCGGCCUGAGAGGGUGGCCGGCCACAUUGGGACUGAGGCACGAGCCAGAGUCCAACGGGGGGCAGCAGUGGGGAAUAUUGCACAAUGGGCGGAAGCCUGAUGCAGCGACGCCGCGUGGGGGAUGACGGCCUUCGGGUUGUAAACUCCUUGCACCAUCGACGAAGGUUUUCUGACGGUAGAUGGAGAAGAAGCACCGGCUAACUACGUG